UGGGAUGUGGCCAAGCGGUAAGGCAGCGGACUUUGACUCCGUUAUUCGGGGGUUCGAAUCCCUCCAUCCCAGCCA
rnacentral:tRNA from 1 species